rnacentral:misc_RNA from 1 species
AAAUAUAAAUAUAAAUAAUUAAAAUGAUUCUUUUUUAUUUUAUACAAUGAAAGAAAUUUUUUGUAAUCUUACAUACUAUUUCAAUAGCUAAUAAGAAAUAUUAAACUAUCAAAUAUGAAUAAAUAGAAAAAAUUAAUAAUUUAUAUUGUAUCUCGAAUUGCCAACAAAACUCAUUAAAUACAAUAAAAAAUAAAUAAAGUCCCAUUAAAAGAGGAAAAAACAAAACCGCUAAUCAGAGAGUAGGAUUUCAAUAAUUUGUUUCCUACAUUAUAUAGAUUUAAAGAUAUAUGUGGCAAAUAGAUACAAAAUAUGAAAAUUUAAUAAUAAUAAUAAUAAAUAACAAAACAAAUAAAAAAGGUGGAUCUGGGGGCUGACCAAGGAAGAAUUUGGUGAGGAGAAGAGAGGAGGGGAGAGGCAUAAAUCUCAAAUUAAAAAACCA